rnacentral:rRNA from 1 species
CCUACGGGUGGCCGCAGUGAGGAAUAUUGGUCAAUGGACGAGAGUCUGAACCAGCCAAGUAGCGUGAAGGAUGACUGCCCUAUGGGUUGUAAACUUCUUUUAUAUGGGAAUAAAACGUUCCACGUGUGGGAUUUUGUAUGUACCAUAUGAAUAAGGAUCGGCUAACUCCGUGCCAGCAGCCGCGGUAAUACGGAGGAUCCGAGCGUUAUCCGGAUUUAUUGGGUUUAAAGGGAGCGUAGGUGGAUUGUUAAGUCAGUUGUGAAAGUUUGCGGCUCAACCGUAAAAUUGCAGUUGAAACUGGCAGUCUUGAGUACAGUAGAGGUGGGCGGAAUUCGUGGUGUAGCGGUGAAAUGCUUAGAUAUCACGAAGAACUCCGAUUGCGAAGGCAGUUCACUGGACUGCAACUGACACUGAGGCUCGAAAGUGUGGGUAUCAAACAGGAUUAGAUACCCUUGUAGUC